GUAGGUGGCAAGCGUUGUCCGGAAUUAUUGGGCGUAAAGCGCGCGCAGGCGGUCCUUUAAGUCUGAUGUGAAAGCCCACGGCUCAACCGUGGAGGGUCAUUGGAAACUGGGGGACUUGAGUACAGAAGAGGAAAGCGGAAUUCCAAGUGUAGCGGUGAAAUGCGUAGAGAUUUGGAGGAACACCAGUGGCGAAGGCGGCUUUCUGGUCUGUAACUGACGCUGAGGCGCGAAAGCGUGGGGAGCAAACAGGGAUUAGAUACCCUGGCAGUCCACGCCGUAAACGAUGAGUGCUAAGUGUUAGGGGGUUUCCGCCCCCUUAGUGCUGCAGCUAACGCAUUAAGCACUCCGCCUGGGGAGUACGGCCGCAAGGCUG
rnacentral:rRNA from 1 species